rnacentral:lncRNA from 1 species
AAGUAUGACACUAUAUGAUAAUGGUUUUGCGCAAAAUGCUCAUUUUGUAGGACUCAAAUUUAAGAUUCUAUUUUUUAAUACAUCUAAAUAUUUCAGCACCACCUGCAAGUACAAGCCCUUCAACAACUCAAACAGCAGAACCUACAACAGUCUUUGCCACAACAAACUCUCCAUCAACUGUGUAUCCAACAUCCACUCCUUCAUGUAAGUUAUUAUUGUGUGAUCAUUUUAAGGGGAAAUGAUAAUUGUAGGUCUGACUUAAUUAGAAUUAUGUGAUUUUGUGCACUAUUGUUUUAAUACAUUUAAAUAUUUCAGCAUCUCCUGCAUUUACAAGUUCUCCUACAACUGAGUCUCAAACAGCAGAACCUACAAGUAAGUAAUAUAUAUAUAUAUAUAUA